GAUGAACGCUGGCGGCGUGCCUAAUACAUGCAAGUCGAGCGAACGGACGAGAAGCUUGCUUCUCUGAUGUUAGCGGCGGACGGGUGAGUAACACGUGGAUAACCUACCUAUAAGACUGGGAUAACUUCGGGAAACCGGAGCUAAUACCGGAUGAUAUUUUGAACCGCAUGGUUCAAAAGUGAAAGACGGUCUUGCUGUCACUUAUAGAUGGAUCCGCGCUGCAUUAGCUAGUUGUUAAGGUAACGGCUUACCAAGGCAACGAUGCAUAGCCGACCUGAGAGGGUGAUCGGCCACACUGGAACUGAGACACGGUCCAGACUCCUACGGGAGGCAGCAGUAGGGAAUCUUACGCAAUGGGCGAAAGCCUGACGGAGCAACGCCGCGUGAGUGAUGAAGGUCUUCGGAUCGUAAAACUCUGUUAUUAGGGAAGAACAUAUGUGUAAGUAACUGUGCACAUCUUGACGGUACCUAAUCAGAAAGCCACGGCUAACUACGUG
rnacentral:rRNA from 1 species